rnacentral:rRNA from 1 species
GAUGAACGCUGGCGGCGUGCCUAAUACAUGCAAGUCGAGCGAACAGAUGAGAAGCUUGCUUCUCUGAUGUUAGCGGCGGACGGGUGAGUAACACGUGAGUAACCUACCUAUAAGACUGGGAUAACUCCGGGAAACCGGGGCUAAUACCGGAUAAUAUUUUGAACCGCAUGGUUCAAUAGUGAAAGACGGUUUCGGCUGUCACUUAUAGAUGGACCCGCGCCGUAUUAGCUAGUUGGUAAGGUAACGGCUUACCAAGGCGACGAUACGUAGCCGACCUGAGAGGGUGAUCGGCCACACUGGAACUGAGACACGGUCCAGACUCCUACGGGAGGCAGCAGUAGGGAAUCUUCCGCAAUGGGCGAAAGCCUGACGGAGCAACGCCGCGUGAGUGAUGAAGGUCUUCGGAUCGUAAAACUCUGUUGUUAGGGAAGAACAAAUUUGUUAGUAACUGAACAAGUCUUGACGGUACCUAACCAGAAAGCCACGGCUAACUACGUGCCAGCCGCCGCCGUAAUAC